rnacentral:rRNA from 1 species
GACGAACCGAGCGAACGUUGUUCGGAAUCACUGGGCUUAAAGGGCGCGUAGGCGGGUGCUCAAGUCCGUGGUGAAAUCCUCCGGCUCAACCGGAGAACUGCCUCGGAUACUGGGUGCCUCGAGGGUGGUAGGGGUAUGCGGAACUAUCGGUGGAGCGGUGAAAUGCGUUGAUAUCGAUAGGAACUCCGGUGGCGAAGGCGACUACCUGGCCUGUUCUUGACGCUGAGGCGCGAAAGCUAGGGGAGCAAACGGG